rnacentral:misc_RNA from 1 species
GGGGCAACGACGCCGUCGCUGGCUGCAGCGGCAGCGACGACGGCGGUUUCGUACCAGUGUGCGUGAGUUGGGAAGAUGGAGGGCUUGGCGGCACGGUCGACGCGGACGAUGUAAGUCUGUUGGAUCACGGAAUCGACGGCUGAGAUGGACGGAGAGAGGGCUAAGAACAGGAGGAGGAGCAUUUUGAAAAUUGGAGACAUUUAUUUGAAUUUUUAAUUAUUAAUUUAUCAUCAUGAAAGUGAAGAAGGGAGGGGG